rnacentral:misc_RNA from 1 species
UGGAGAGGGACUCGGCUCACGCGGCAGCCGCGAUAGCACCAGCAGCGGUGCUGCUCACUGCUGAGACGACGAGAGAGAGAGGGACGGCAACGUACGCGUCACCUUGACGUAUACUAGAGCACGAGCGCGUGGAUUUUUCAGCAGAGAGCCGUCAACGCGCAGCGAGCAUACUCCUUUCCUUUACACUUCUCCUGUUGCGUCCCCCUGGUCUUUUGAGUCCUCACCUGUGCACCCACUGGCAACCACGCGACGAGGCGACCUAUUCCUGAUUUAUGCCCACUUCUCUCUCAUAUCCACAGGCAGUACCAGCACCCCACAGACUCUCUACUGGUCUCCUCAUCUCUCCCCACACCCUCACGUCUCGCUAUUUACAGUUCGGCGUGUUGGCUGCCUAGGCGGCCCCGCCAUCAUGCGUUGCAGCGCGUCUACGCAGCAGCUCCUCGAUGAGCUCGCCGCGCGAGAGCGACGAGUCCUGCAGCAGUUGCGCGAUCUCUCCGGUAUGAAGGCAUCUCCGAUCGCACCUAGCCGGCCCUGCGCAAGUUUGCCGAUGACCCCGGAGCGACUCAACGUCGCUUCAACACACCCGGCAUCGUCGACACCCCUACCGCAACUGCUUCCCUCUCCUUUGUCUACCACCGAGCAUGAGGAGUAUCAAGUAAAGACGCCGUCGUGGCGCCAGCAGGGCAGCUGCCACCAUGACGUCCACCACCCCUCGCGUGGGACUUUGGGCAACCUGGAGCGAGACCUUCAGCGACUUCAGUACCUACUGCGGCACAGUCCGCUGACGGGGACGCAGGCAGCGAUUGCGGACGCAGGCGACGAGAACGGCUCUGAGGCGACCAACGCACAACAGUCGCAGCAGCAUCUCCCGAUGACGCACAGAGACGACGGCGCUGCAAUGGCACGUGAGAAGAGGACACGCGAAGCGCGGCGGCCCAACUUGAGUGCAUCCCCGGUGACACCGGAGGUGAAGCGCGACCGACAAGAGAUGGAAGCCUACUACGCUCCACCGCCGCCCCUGACGCCUCUCCCAUCGUACGCAGAGGCGUCUCUGCAGCAUCCAGGCGGCGGCUCAACCUCUUCAGCGCGAGGCAGUGCGGUGCUCAGCAUGGACGAUGAGCCCUGCGACGAGGAUGUGGCGCUCGCCAGUGACGCUCUAGCACACUUCUCUCAAGUUGCUGCGGGGUUGGUAACCAGCGGUGUAGAGAACCGGCUUAGAAGGGCGAAUACGACUAUGUUUCCUGGACGGUGCUCAGCAAAGACUGUAGGCGGCUUGCAAGCGAGCCCCUACCGUGAGCCAGACGACACAGUGCCGAGAGAGGCGCACAGUCGGCAGGGCGUCACCCCUGCGGUGACCCCUUCGACUAGUGAGUGGCGACGCUCUCCGGUGCGGUGGUUUUCUUCUUCCGCCCCCACGGCGACUUCAAUCUCGAAGGACGCGCCCCGACACGAGUGGUGCGAGGAGGGGGAGGAGGAGGUGACGAUGCUCUGUGUGUCUGCGUUGGACGCAUGGGCUGCGCAUCGCUCGGCGCAUUGCGUGCCUCACGGGACAGCCAAUUUCGACUCGGCUUCCAUUGCGACCUCUCCACCGCCGGCGAGGACAUUUUCUCGGGCUUCACGUCCACCUCUGUCGCCAUCUCGUCCCGGAGAGCUAUCGGAUAUCCACGCAACUCCGCACCCAGCCCUGCCGAGCACCAACUCGCCCCCACACGUACCAGCGCGGUCCCCGUCUCCCUUUGCCAAAACCUGUCAACUCGCCGUUUCCACUGCCGGUCUCACCUUCCUCACACCUACCCUUGACGAGGACGAAGCUGCGCAGCCCUUCGCUGCCACAUUACCGCCGCAAGCUGCAACGCCGCAAGAAACCUUGCACAGCGGUAACGACCACCACAGCAGCAGAGUAUCGACGGAGCCUCAGACUUCGUGUGUUGCAUCCGCCUUGCCGAGCGGUGUCAUGCGAACCACCUCGUGGUCUACUCUGAAGGCGUUCUACGCCCGACAGUCCAGCGCCGGCGCCCUAAUGACACCGUCGUGGGAAGAGGGUACCCGAUAGCUUACGAAGCGCAGAUGGAGUGCAAGGGCAGCGCAUGGGGGCUGGUGAUACGGCUGCCCCUUUUCGCACUAUCGAACGAGAGGGGCCCGUUACGGAAGCGGUGCCAUCAUCUAAAGUGCGCACUCUUCGUUACCACACGCACACCCAUUUACGCCUGUAGCAUCCUUGCGUGGGGUGAGGGGUGGGUGGGCAUUCAUAGACUGGCAUAGAGACAGCUUAUUCAGCUGACCUAGGAGGAGACGCACGCACCAGAGACACAAGCAUACCCGCACAUAUUUACACGCGUGCACCUGGCUUCGGCUCCCACACGUGCAUAGGCGCGCUCGCUUUCUCACCGGCUCAACGGAACGACUCCUGGUGCGUCGUACUGCGGCAACGUUUUUCGUUCAUCAUUUGCGUUUCCUGAACACAUCGGCCACCUCAGUGCGCGGCAUCACGCGAUCCGUUACACCCCACGUUGUGUGUGAGGAAGGCAAGCACCCCCUGUCCCCUGCCAAUGCCGAACAACCUCUGGUGGUGGCAGGGCCAAGCAGCUGUGACGUAGGGGUGGACAGGGCGAUGUGUCGCUGCUGAUGUCGGCGGUCAGGUCGUGGAUGGCGUUGCGCCGGAGCGGCCUGCGGCAGUGAACGCACUUGCGCCAUCCAUCUGGUGGGCAUGGUGUCGCCGCAGCUCGAGCGCAUCCCCGCCCCGCGCCUCACACUGCCUGCUGGCGGGGGGAGCCUGAGCUACCCCGAGGGACGCACGAGGUGGGGACCGGCGCAAUGUGAGCCGCUGUGGGGCGGCCUCCGCUUCGCAGGCCGGUAGUGUUUUGAGGCAGAGGCCAUGCUCGGAUGACGGAGUCGGCGCAUUGCUGUAGAGCGUGUGCACGACUGCUUUGCGCCACGCGAUGGGGGCCUGCGACAUGCCGGGUGGAGUGUUGUCGAGCUCACGUUGCGUGGCGGAGAACGGACACGUUGAGCAGAAAAGGCGCAUAACCCAACGACGAACCUCUCGCUGCUCUUUGGUCUCCGAUUUCUCUCGGCUGAGGCUCACUUC